rnacentral:lncRNA from 1 species
GAAGGAGAUAGGAUCAUGAACAAGGAUUGGUCUUGAACAGGAAAAAGCACACCUCUUCCUCAUAAACUGGAGGAGAGGAGAUAAGAGUGAGUGCGUUUGAAGCUCAACUUGUUGUGGACAAAAAGCCAAGGGGAUUCACACUCUAUAAACCUGCUCCUUCAUCACAGGAGAGGCACAACCAUCAGCUGAGAGGAAAGGAGUCAGGGUGGAACAUGGAUGGCUGCUGUAGAAAGUGGGAGAGGAGGAGGAACAGAAACAGAAAGGAAAGAGGAACCAGCAGAGACAUUUGAGAGAGAAUGGCUAUAGAAGUGGGAAGAAAACUGCAUUGCCAUAGAAGCCGUGGGUUCUCCUUGGAGCCGCUAAAAUUCUUGACAGCUCUGCAACGAGAAAUCUCCAGACAAAUGGAAACCAGGAGUUCCCAUCUCAGAAGUGGAACAGAAAAAAAAUGGAAAAAAUAUGUUAAGCUGAUUUCUGUGGUCCUCAUACACCUUCAAGUUAUAGGGACAAAAUACUGACUGAGGAUUAGCUUCAUUUUUCUUUCUGCUUUGGGAUCUGUUGUUAAUUUAGUGAAAUACAUAUUUCUGCCAGGCAAGACCCAGGUAAAGCUUAGGUCAAGUUACAAACCCAAGCCUUUUAUCACACUCUGACAGCAGGAAAAACCACGUCUGGAAAAUGUCAUUAUCAGGAAAAAACUGUGUUUUGCUUUGAGUCCUUGGCUUGAGGUUUUCUUUACAUUUUAAAAUUCCACUAAGGAGCUAAAAAGUUAGUAGCUAACAACUACUAAAGUAAUUAAAUUGUGUAGAGGCCAAAAUAAAUAAAAUCCAUUAAUUAGUAGGACUGCAUUACAUUCUAUGACUUUGUCCAAAUAUUUUUGUAAGAACAGAUUCUCAAACUCUCGAUAUGAAAUCAGUAGAUCUUUGGAACAGAGCAACGUUCCUAUUUUGUUGCUGUUUUAUAUAUUUUGGAGAAAGUAAUUGAAUUUACCUGAAUCUCAAUUUAUUCAUAUAUAAAAUAGAGACAAUAUGAAUUAUCUUGUAAAUGUGAAGAUUCGCAUCCUUUUUGGGCACUUAGACAACAGACAUUUCACCCUCGUCUUCAUAGAGCUUUGCAUAUUCAAAAGGCAAUGUUACUAAAACAGCAUUUCCAUCUCUCAAGCAUAGAAAAACUUUGACACUCAGAGAUUAGCUAUAGGUUUGAAAUAGAGCAUCUGCGGAAAAUCUAUAAUUAUAACCAGGCCACAAAAAGAUGAGGUGGAAUACACAAACAGACUCUUAAUGUUGGUCACUUUAAGCAAAGGUGGGACAAGUUGGAAGAUAUGAAUAUUAUUUUAUUGCAUUUGUUAUCACCCUGAAAAUGUCUUGCGAUUCGUAAAUUUUGGAAG